UUAGCGGCGGACGGGUGAGUAACACGUGGAUAACCUACCUAUAAGACUGGGAUAACUUCGGGAAACCGGAGCUAAUACCGGAUAAUAUUUUGAACCGCAUGGUUCAAAAGUAAAAGACGGUCUUGCUGUCACUUAUAGAUGGAUCCGCGCUGCAUUAGCUAGUUGGUAAGGUAACGGCUUACCAAGGCAACGAUGCAUAGCCGACCUGAGAGGGUGAUCGGCCACACUGGAACUGAGACACGGUCCAG
rnacentral:rRNA from 1 species